rnacentral:rRNA from 1 species
UACAGAGGGGGCAAGCGUUGUUCGGAAUUACUGGGCGUAAAGGGCGCGUAGGCGGCCGCCUAAGUCAGACGUGAAAUCCCUCGGCUCAACCGGGGAACUGCGUCUGAUACUGGGUGGCUUGAAUCCGGGAGAGGGAUGCGGAAUUCCAGGUGUAGCGGUGAAAUGCGUAGAUAUCUGGAGGAACACCGGUGGCGAAGGCGGUUCUCUGGGCCUGUACUGACGCUGAGGAGCGAAAGCGUGGGGAGCGAACAGG